rnacentral:rRNA from 1 species
AAGACCUUGUGCUUUUGGAGCGGCCGAUGCCUGAUUAGCUUGUUGGUAAGGUAAAAGCUUACCAAGGCUUCGAUCAGUAGCUGGUCUGAGAGGACGACCAGCCACACUGGGACUGAGACACGGCCCAGACUCCUACGGGAGGCAGCAGUGGGGAAUUUUGGACAAUGGGGGCAACCCUGAUCCAGCCAUGCCGCGUGAGUGAAGAAGGCCUUCGGGUUGUAAAGCUCUUUCAGUCGGGAAGAAAAGGUUGCGACUAAUAAUCGUGAUCAAUGACGGUACCGAAAGAAGAAGCACCGGCUAACUACGUGCCAGCAGCCGCGGUAAUACGUAGGGUGCGAGCGUUAAUCGGAAUUACUGGGCGUAAAGCGUGCGCAGGUGGUUUUGUAAGUCAGAUGUGAAAGCCCCGGGCUCAACCUGGGAACU